GUAGGUGGCAAGCGUUGUCCGGAAUUAUUGGGCGUAGAGCGCGCGCAGGCGGGGGUUUUUAAGUCUGAUGUGAAAGCCCACGGGCUCAACCGUGGAGGGUCAUUGGAAACUGGAGAACUUGAGUACAGAAGAGGAAAGCGGAAUUCCACGUGUAGCGGUGAAAUGCGUAGAGAUGUGGAGGAACACCAGUGGCGAAGGCGGCUUUCUGGUCUGUAACUGACGCUGAGGCGCGAAAGCGUGGGGAGCAAACAGGAUUAGAUACCCUGGUAGUCCACGCCGUAAACGAUGAGUGCUAAGUGUUAGGGGGUUUCCGCCCCUUAGUGCUGCAGCUAACGCAUUAAGCACUCCGCCUGGGGAGUACGGCCGCAAGGCUG
rnacentral:rRNA from 1 species